AGAAUCAACGCUGGCGGCGUGCCUAACACAUGCAAGUCGCACGAGAAAGGGGAGCAAUCCCUGAGUACAGUGGCGCACGGGUGAGUAACACGUGAAUAAUCUACCUCCGAGUGGGGAAUAACUGAGAGAAAUCUUAGCUAAUACCGCAUAACACUUACGAGUCAAAGCAGCAAUGCGCUUGGAGAGGAGUUCGCGGCCGAUUAGUUAGUUGGCGGGUAAUGGCCCACCAAGACGAUGAUCGGUA
rnacentral:rRNA from 1 species